GACGAACGCUGGCGGCGUGCUUAACACAUGCAAGUCGAACGGAAAGGCCCCCAUCUUGGUGGGGGUGCUCGAGUGGCGAACGGGUGAGUAACACGUGGGUGAUCUGCCCUGUACUUCGGGAUAAGCUUGGGAAACUGGGUCUAAUACCGGAUAGGACCAUGGUUUAGUGUCUCAUGGUGGAAAGAUUAUUGUUUUGGUGCAGGAUGAGCUCGCGGCCUAUCAGCUUGUUGGUGGGGUAAUGGCCUACCAAGGCGUCGACGUGUAGCCGGCCUGAGAGGGUGGACGGCCACAUUGGGACUGAGAUACGGCCCAGACUCCUACGGGAGGCAGCAGUGGGGAAUAUUGCACAAUGGGCGCAAGCCUGAUGCAGCGACGCCGCGUGGGGGAUGACGGCCUUCGGGUUGUAAACUCCUUUCGUUAGGGACGAAGCCGCACUUUUUUUGGGUGUGGUGACGGUACCUUUGUUAAGAAGCACCGGCUAACUACGUG
rnacentral:rRNA from 1 species